rnacentral:rRNA from 1 species
CUUUCUUUGCUGGCGACCGGCGCACGGGUGAGUAACACGUAUCCAACCUGCCCUUUACUCGGGGAUAGCCUUUCGAAAGAAAGAUUAAUACCCGAUAGUAUAAUGAUUCCGCAUGGUUUCAUUAUUAAAGGAUUCCGGUAAAGGAUGGGGAUGCGUUCCAUUAGGUUGUUGGUGAGGUAACGGCUCACCAAGCCUUCGAUGGAUAGGGGUUCUGAGAGGAAGGUCCCCCACAUUGAAACUGAGACACGGUCCAA